GAACGGGACCCAACCAGCCCAGGAGUCCCUAUUCAUUACCGCACAGAUAGAAAUGCUUUCAUUAAGUUGUCUGGUCCAUGUCUGGGGAAGGGAGCUUUGAAUGGAAUUUGGAGGCUGGUAAAGGUCAAAGAAAGUUGGCAACUGUAAAGGCUUUUUUUUCCCUUGCUGGAAGCUAGCAUUGGUUAAUUCCAUAAGAGUUUUUGUCAGGCUAAGCAUCCCCAAGAUCUUGGAGGAGGAAAGGAGCAGCGUUAAAACAAAGACUGCAGUAAGCAAAUGUCUUGCCAUCUACCUUGAAAACUGCAUACAUCAAAAGGACUAUAUCAUUUGGGAUCCUCUGACUUCUGAGUGCUGGGAUUACAGGCAUGCACCACUGAGCCUGGCUCGGAGCCUAUUAUAAAGCAGCCGUGAAGACAGCCACACUUUCUUUCUUUCCAUCUUUCAAGGUAGAGUGGAGCUCAGAGAGGUUGAGUAACUAGGGCAGGGAUACCCAGCAAUUGAUAGCUGUUUGAUUCAAAAACCUUGCAGGGUAUGAUGGGAUGUACCUUUAAACCCAACCCUGACACGGAGGCAGUCGAAUUUCUGUGAGUUCAAGGCCAGCCUGGUCUUCAUAGCAAGUUGCAGGACAACCAGGCCUACUACAUAAAGAGACCCUGUCUCAACAGACAAAACAAACAAACAAACAAACGAAAACCUCUGUCUUCCACUAGACAUCCCCUCACAGAGCCUAACAAUGCCUGGUAAGAGGCUCAUGAGACACACAGCCCCACAGAAGGCAGCCACCGCUCUGUUCUCCAGUGACAGCCUCCUGCAGGGCCUGCUCCCACCCUUCUCUGGGCCCCUUUUGCAGGACCGCGGAACAGCACAGAUGCAGGGCUUCUACCGCCCCCCUGGGGGUGAUGGCAAGGCGGUGAUCCAGGCAGAGCAGCCUGGCAAACCAGACCAUGGAUGGGGGUCUCCCUCCUGCUAACACCCCUCCCUGUUCCCAUCUGCCCCUCCCUUUUGUGGGUCAAGGCUGCCAGCUUCUGAUUCUGCUUCAUUAUGCUCUGGGGGAAGGGAGAGUCGGGGUGACAGGGUGUCUGUGUGCAUGAACAUAAGGCCUCCGGGUUCAUUCUGACGCUGAAUGAAAAACUCGCCAAUUAUUCGUCCAAUCUCAUUAAUAUGCAGACAGACAUCUGUUAUUUAGGAGUCAACAGCAGAGGCAUUUUCUUGGGGGGGAGGGGAACUUAUGUACAUCUCUCAUCUCUGGCUACUGUGGGAUAGCUGCUUGGGACUCACCCCUGCCCCCCUCGAAUCUGGAGCACCCCUCUCUGACCUCAUAGCAGCCCUGAGGAAGGGAAGUAGGGGUUGACUAGAGAUGGAGGGCAUUCCUGGAACUCAGAAAGGAGGGAGGCAGAGGGGAACCAAAAUUAUGAAGGAAACUACUGGAACAAAGAGCGGAGCUCCUUCUUGGGGAAGAGCAUGGAGCAGAGGAGAGAGCUGCACUAGGAUCCUGCUGUCCACUGGGAAGUUGGAGACAUGAUGACUUGCCCUCCUCUUCAGGCCACUGGACAAAUCCAAGAGGAUCUGUGUGGGUUGCUCUAAAAAUAUGGGGUCCUUAGAGACUGUAGAAAGCUGGGCAUGGGAGCAUACGCCGGUAAUCCCAGUACUGUUAUGGCUGAGGCAGGGGGAUUGCAAGUUCGUGGCCAG